CAGUCGCCACGGUAAUACGUAGGUGGCAAGCGUUGUCCGGAAUUAUUGGGCGUAAAGGGUUCGCAGGCGGUUUCUUAAGUCUGAUGUGAAAGCCCCCGGCUCAACCGGGGAGGGUCAUUGGAAACUGGGAAACUUGAGUGCAGAAGAGGAGAGUGGAAUUCCACGUGUAGCGGUGAAAUGCGUAGGGAUGUGGAGGAACACCAGUGGCGAAGGCGACUCUCUGGUCUGUAACUGACGCUGAGGAGCGAAAGCGUGGGGAGCGAACAGGAUUAGAUACCCGCGUAGUCCCUGUCUCUUAUAA
rnacentral:rRNA from 1 species